CAGAAGAUAGUUUAGUUGAAAAUACCAGCUUUGGGAGUUGGUGAUAAGGGUUUGACUCCCUUUUUUCUGA
rnacentral:tRNA from 1 species